rnacentral:rRNA from 1 species
UACGAAGGGGGCUAGCGUUGCUCGGAAUCACUGGGCGUAAAGCGCACGUAGGCGGCUUUUUAAGUCAGAGGUGAAAUCCUGGAGCUCAACUCCAGAACUGCCUUUGAUACUGGAGAGCUUCGAGUCCGGGAGAGGUGAGUGGAACUGCGAGUGUAGAGGUGAAAUUCGUAGAUAUUCGCAAGAACACCAGUGGCGAAGGCGGCUCACUGGCCCGGUACUGACGC